CAGCAGCCGCGGUAAUACAGAGGGUGCGAGCGUUAAUCGGAUUUACUGGGCGUAAAGCGUGCGUAGGCGGCUAAUUGAGUCGGAUGUGAAAUCCCCGAGCUUAACUUGGGAAUUGCAUUCGAUACUGGUUAGCUAGAGUGUGGGAGAGGAUGGUAGAAUUCCAGGUGUAGCGGUGAAAUGCGUAGAGAUCGGGAGGAACAUCAGUGGCGAAGGCGGCCAUCUGGGACAACACUGACGCUGAGGCACGAAAGCGUGGGGAGCAAACAGGAUUAGAUACCCCAGUAGUCCCUGUCUCUUAUAA
rnacentral:rRNA from 1 species